CAGACAAAUAAACAGCUGGUGAUGCUUUCUGCCCCAUGGGGCCUGGUGCACAAUGGCUGCAGACAGUAGCGGCUUCCUUGGUGGUGUACACAGCCUGUUACUUGUAUGGGCUAUUAUUAGGGACCUUGGAGACACCU